UGGGGAAUUGUUCGCAAUGGGCGCAAGCCUGACGACGCAACGCCGCGUGGAGGAUGAAGACUUUCGGGUCGUAAACUCCUUUCGACCGAGAUGAAUUUCCGCCGACCUAACACGUCGGCGGGGUGACAGUAUCGAGGGAAGAAGCCCCGGCUAACUCCGUGCCAGCAGCCGCGGUAAUACGGGGGGGGCAAGCGUUGUUCGGAAUUACUGGGCGUAAAGGGUUCGUAGGUGGCCUGCUAAGUCACACGUGAAAUCCCUCAGCUUAACUGGGGAACUGCGUGUGAGACUGGCGGGCUUGAGUGCAGGAGAGGAACGCGGAAUUCCAGGUGUAGCGGUGAAAUGCGUAGAUAUCUGGAGGAACACCGGUGGCGAAGGCGGCGUUCUGGACUGCAACUGACACUGAUGAACGAAAGCCAGGGGAGCAAACGG
rnacentral:rRNA from 1 species